AAGUCGUAACAAGGUUUCCGUAGGUGAACCUGCGGAAGGAUCAUUACAAAUCCAAACAAAUACCCGUUGAAAUGUUUUCGGCCUUGGGCAAAGCGAUCUUCAUGAUCCAGUUUGGAUUGCAUAAAUCUAGCUGUGAAGUGAAGAAGCAAUGCAAACGCGUUUUCGUGUUAAACCAAGGUACCGACCUACUAAAUACUUAUUUUGUUGACAUAUCUAUAAAAUGCUCUCUUAUCGGAAACGAGAAGGAGCAAUUUAAACCAAUACAACUUUUAACAAUGGAUCUCUAGGCUCUU
rnacentral:misc_RNA from 1 species